GUGUGGCUUUGGCUGCACAUACACUACAGUUGAAACAAUACAGAGAUUAGCAUGGCUCCAUGCAAGGAUGACGCACACAUUUGUGACACGUUCCAUAUUAAA
ensembl:snRNA U6 U6 spliceosomal RNA